rnacentral:rRNA from 1 species
GCGAGAAAACUUUGCAAUGUGCGAAAGCACGACAAGGUUAAUCCGAGUGGUUUCUGCUAAAGAAACCUUUUGUCAGUCCUAGAAACACUAACGAAUAAGGGGUGGGCAAGUUCUGGUGUCAGCCGCCGCGGUAAAACCAGCACCUCAAGUGGUCAGGAUGAUUAUUGGGCCUAAAGCAUCCGUAGCUCGUUUUGUAAGUUUUCGGUUAAAUCCAUACGCUUAACGUAUGGGCUGCCGGGAAUACUGCAUAACUAGGAAGUGGGAGAGGUAGACGGUACUCGGUAGGAAGGGGUAAAAUCCUUUGAUCUAUUGAUGACCACCUGUGGCGAAGGCGGUCUACCAGAACACGUUCGACGGUGAGGGAUGAAAGCUGGGGGAGCAAACCGGAUUAGAUACCCCUGUAGUCCCUGAGCGGGCUGGCAAGGCGCAU